rnacentral:rRNA from 1 species
GAUGAACGCUGGCGGCGUGCCUAAUACAUGCAAGUCGAGCGAACGGACGAGAAGCUUGCUUCUCUGAUGUUAGCGGCGGACGGGUGAGUAACACGUGGAUAACCUACCUAUAAGACUGGGAUAACUUCGGGAAACCGGAGCUAAUACCGGAUGAUAUUUUGAACCGCAUGGUUCAAAAGUGAAAGACGGUCUUGCUGUCACUUAUAGAUGGAUCCGCGCUGCAUUAGCUAGUUGGUAAGGUAACGGCUUACCAAGGCAACGAUGCAUAGCCGACCUGAGAGGGUGAUCGGCCACACUGGAACUGAGACACGGUCCAGACUCCUACGGGAGGCAGCAGUAGGGAAUCUUCCGCAAUGGGCGAAAGCCUGACGGAGCAACGCCGCGUGAGUGAUGAAGGUCUUCGGAUCGUAAAGCUCUGUUAUUAGGGAAGAACAUAUGUGUAAGUAACUGUGCACAUCUUGACGGUACCUAAUCAGAAAGCCACGGCUAACUACGUGCCAGCAGCCGCGGUAAUACGUAGGUGGCAAGCGUUAUCCGGAAUUAUUGGGCGUAAAGCGCGCGUAGGCGGUUUUUUAAGUCUGAUGUGAAAGCCCACGGCUCAACCGUGGAGGGUCAUUGGAAACUGGAAAACUUGAGUGCAGAAGAGGAAAGUGGAAUUCCAUGUGUAGCGGUGAAAUGCGCAGAGAUAUGGAGGAACACCAGUGGCGAAGGCGACUUUCUGGUCUGUAACUGACGCUGAUGUGCGAAAGCGUGGGGAUCAAACAGGAUUAGAUACCCUGGUAGUCCACGCCGUAAACGAUGAGUGCUAAGUGUUAGGGGGUUUCCGCCCCUUAGUGCUGCAGCUAACGCAUUAAGCACUCCGCCUGGGGAGUACGACCGCAAGGUUGAAACUCAAAGGAAUUGACGGGGACCCGCACAAGCGGUGGAGCAUGUGGUUUAAUUCGAAGCAACGCGAAGAACCUUACCAAAUCUUGACAUCCUUUGACAACUCUAGAGAUAGAGCCUUCCCCUUCGGGGGACAAAGUGACAGGUGGUGCAUGGUUGUCGUCAGCUCGUGUCGUGAGAUGUUGGGUUAAGUCCCGCAACGAGCGCAACCCUUAAGCUUAGUUGCCAUCAUUAAGUUGGGCACUCUAAGUUGACUGCCGGUGACAAACCGGAGGAAGGUGGGGAUGACGUCAAAUCAUCAUGCCCCUUAUGAUUUGGGCUACACACGUGCUGCAAUGGACAAUACAAAGGGCAGCGAAACCGCGAGGUCAAGCAAAUCCCAUAAAGUUGUUCUCAGUUCGGAUUGUAGUCUGCAACUCGACUACGUGAAGCUGGAAUCGCUAGUAAUCGUAGAUCAGCAUGCUACGGUGAAUACGUUCCCGGGUCU